UACGUAGGGUGCGAGCGUUAAUCGGAAUUACUGGGCGUAAAGCGUGCGCAGGCGGUUUUGUAAGCCAGAUGUGAAAUCCCCGGGCUUAACCUGGGAAUGGCAUUUGGGACUGCAAGGCUUGAGUGCGGCAGAGGAGACUGGAAUUCCUGGUGUAGCAGUGAAAUGCGUAGAUAUCAGGAGGAAUACCGAUGGCGAAGGCAGGUCUCUGGGCUGACACUGACGCUCAUGCACGAAAGCGUGGGGAGCGAAA
rnacentral:rRNA from 1 species